rnacentral:tRNA from 1 species
GAGGGUAUAGCUCAGUGGUAGAGUGCAUGCUUAGCAUGCAUGAGGUCCUGGGUUCAAUCCCCAGCGCCUCCA